UGAAUUUAUCUUUCCUCUCUUUUUAAAUACUUCACAUUUACACAAGAUCACACAUCUUUACAAUCCUCAAGCAAAAAGCCAACAUUGUUAUUCUCUCUAAAGCUUCCAAUUUUUAUUCUUUUCAUCUUAUUCUUGAGAGCUUCUUAUUGUAUUGUGAGGAUUAAAUUUGUGAGCUUCAAAUUGUAUACUCACUCUUUUA
rnacentral:lncRNA from 1 species